rnacentral:pre_miRNA from 1 species
AGUGGAAUUGCUAGAUCAUAUAGCAAUUCUUUGUUUAAUUUUUUGAAGAAUGGCCAUAUUGUUUUUCAUAGUGACCGCAUCAUUUUCCAUUUCCAUCAGUAGU